UACGUAGGGGGCAAGCGUUGUCCGGAAUCAUUGGGCGUAAAGCGCGUGUAGGCGGUCCGGUAAGUCCGCUGUGAAAGUCGGGGGCUUAACCCUCGGAUGCCGGUGGAUACUGUCGGGCUUGAGUACGGAAGAGGCGAGUGGAAUUCCUGGUGUAGCGGUGAAAUGCGCAGAUAUCGAGAGGAACACCUGCGGCGAAGGCGGGUUGCUGGGCUGACACUGACGCUGAGGCGCGAAAGCCAGGGGAGCGAACGGG
rnacentral:rRNA from 1 species